UCCGUAGGCGGUGUGGCAAGUCGGUAGUGAAAUCUCUCGGCUUAACUGAGAGGCUGCUGCCGAAACUGCCAUGCUCGAGUGCGAGAGAGGCGAGUGGAAUUGCGGGUGUAGCGGUGAAAUGCGUAGAUAUCCGCAGGAACAUCCGAGGCGAAAGCGGCUCGCUGGAUCGCAACUGACACUGAGGGACGAAAGCUAGGGGAGCAAACAGGAUUAGAUACCCUGGUAGUCCUAGCCCUAAACCAUCAGGACUUGGGGUUUGCCCUGUACGGGGCAAGUCCCGGAGCUAACGCGUUAAGUCCUGCGCCUGGGGAGUACGGUCGCAAGGCUGAA
rnacentral:rRNA from 1 species